AACGUAGGGCGCGAGCGUUAUCCGGAUUCACUGGGCGUAAAGCGCGUUGAGGCGGCUCCGUAAGUUGGGCGUGAAAGCCCCGUGCCUAACCCGGGGAGGCCGUCCAAUACUGCGGGGCUUGAGGGCAGCAGAGGGAGGUGGAAUUCCCGGUGUAGUGGUGAAAUGCGUAGAUAUCGGGAGGAACCCCCGUGGCGAAGGCGGCCUCCUGGGCUGCUCCUGACGCUGAAGGCGAAAGCCAGGGGAGCGAACGGG
rnacentral:rRNA from 1 species